ACUGCUCAGUAACACGUGGACAACCUGCCCUUAGGUUGGGUAUAAACCCGGGAAACUGGGUAUAAUACCCGAUAGGUCUCGAUUGCUGGAAUGCAUCGAGAUUUAAAGCUCCGGCGCCUAAGGAUGGGUCUGCGGCCUAUCAGGUAGUAGUGGGUGUAGCGUACCUACUAGCCUACGACGGGUACGGGUUGUGAGAGCAAGAGCCCGGAGAUGGAUUCUGAGACACGAAUCCAGGCCCUACGGGGUGCAGCAGGCGCGAAAACUUUACAAUGCUGGCAACAGCGAUAAGGGAACCUCGAGUGCCAGGUUACAAAUCUGGCUGUCGAGAUGCCUAAAAAGCAUUUCAUAGCAAGGGCCGGGCAAGACCGGUGCCAGCCGCCGCGGUAACACCGGCGGCUCGAGUGGUAACCGUUAUUAUUGGGUCUAAAGGGUCUGUAGCCGGCCGGAUAAGUCUCUUGAGAAAUCUGGCAGCUUAACUGUCAGGCUUUCAGGAGAUACUGUCUGGCUCGAGGCCGGGAGAGGUGAGAGGUACUUCAGGGGUAGGGGUGAAAUCUUGUAAUCCUUGAAGGACCACCAGUGGCGAAGGCGUCUCACCAGAACGGACCUGACGGCAAGGGACGAAAGCUAGGGGCACGAACCGGAUUAGAUACCCGGGUAGUCCUAGCCGUAAACGAUACUCGCUAGGUGUCGGCCACGGUGCGACCGUUGUCGAUGCCGUAGGGAAGCCGUGAAGCGAGCCACCUGGGAAGUACGGCCGCAAGGCUGAAACUUAAAGGAAUUGGCGGGGGAGCAC
rnacentral:rRNA from 1 species